rnacentral:SRP_RNA from 1 species
CUGGACCAGAUCAGCUCUGGAAGGAGCAGCAAGAAGUGGCUACCUAAGUGU